CCUACAUGAAGCUGGAAUUGCUAGUAAUCACAGGUCAGCAUACUGUGGUGAAUACGUUCCCGGGCCUUGUACACACCGCCCGUCACACCAUGAGAGUUGAGAAUACCCGAAGCCCAUGUCAAAGUGGUCGAAGGUAGGCUUGAUGAUUGGGUGAAGUCGUAACAAGGUAUC
rnacentral:rRNA from 1 species